rnacentral:rRNA from 1 species
UACGUAGGGUGCGAGCGUUGUUCGGAAUUACUGGGCGUAAAGGGCUCGUAGGUGGCCAACUAAGUCGGACGUGAAAUCCCCAGGCUCAACCUGGGAACUGCGUCCGAUACUGGAUGGCUUGAAUCCGGGAGAGGGAUGCAGAAUUCCAGGUGUAGCGGUGAAAUGCGUAGAUAUCUGGAGGAAUACCGGUGGCGAAGGCGGCAUCCUGGACCGGCAUUGACGCUGAGGAGCGAAAGCCAGGGGAGCAAACGGG